rnacentral:rRNA from 1 species
GUAGGGAAUAUUGCGCAAUGGACGAAAGUCUGACGGAGCGACGCCGCGUGAGUGAUGAAGGCCUUAGGGUCGUAAAGCUCUGUUGAAUGGGAAGAAAAAAAUGACGGUACCAUUCGAGGAAGGACCGGCUAACUUCGUGCCAGCAGCCGCGGUAAUACGAGGGGUCCUAGCGUUGUUCGGAAUCAUUGGGCGUAAAGGGUGUGUAGGUGGCCAUGUAAGUCAGGUGUGAAAGCCCCGGGCUCAACCCGGGAAGUGCACUUGAUACUGCGUGGCUUGAGUACCGAAGAGGGUAGUGGAAUUCCAGGUGUAGUGGUGAAAUACGUAGAUAUCUGGAGGAACACCGGUGGCGAAGGCGGCUACCUGGUCGAGUACUGACACUGAGACACGAAAGCAUGGGGAUCAAACAGGAUUAGAAACCCUGGUAGUCC